rnacentral:tRNA from 1 species
UUAAUUGAAACCAAAAAAGAGGCUUAUCACUGUUAAUGAUAUAAUUGAGACUAUCUCCAAUUAAA